AAUAACCUCACUUUCAACAUCACAAGCAUUUCGCUACACUCGCAUUAACAUCUGCUAACCAUGUGUAUGUGACCAAUAAAAUUUGAUUUGAUUUAGAGCAACAAAGCACAGCUCAACAGGGUUCACUCCGAACAUGAUGGUCCUUGGAAGAGAAGUAACAGAACCCAUUGCCCUGUGGCAGGUUUGCCACCUCAUCAUGAGCACGCCAAGACCCCUCCACAGUAUGUGGCACAUCUACGAGACAGAUUGGAACCUGCUUACCAGAUUGCAAGGUAAGCGCUUGGUCAGUCUGUGGAGCGUGUCAAAAAGCAGUAUGACAAGAAUAUCGCAAGGACACACUAGAACGUUGGUGACACAGUAUAGUACUUAAUUAAAGGAACAAGCGGGUGCGGGACAAAGUAAGUUCCUACCAUCCUCUGAGGGUCCUUACUUCGUACUGGGACAGCUGGACGACUUGGCUUACCGGAUUCAAAAGAGCCCGAGAACAAAGGUGAAGGUUAUUCAUCAUGACAAACUCAAGCCGUACAACUCCCGCACAACUCUAGACAACAGUUGGGUGUUCACACACGCCGAAGCGUGGCAACCUGCAGAGGUCUUGCCACCUGAUCUGGAUGCAGGCCUCCAUGAUUCUGAUCUGGAUCUACCCAACCUGUUCAUAGACGAACAAAACAGUGACAAUGGUAGUGAGAAGGACGCAGAGCUUGCUUCUGAUACCACUUCUUUUGUGAGUGGGUCUGCAGAUGGAGUUCAGUCAAGUGAACAUGGACUGUUACUCACCCUGCUUUGGAUCAGACUCCCACAGGGAGGCCAAAGAGGAACAAAAGACUGGUUAGGUGAUUGGGUGUUGAUGAUGAACUGAAUGGUUACAUACAAACUGUUCUGGGAGGUAAAAAAAUGGCAUUUACUUAUUGCUGCAUUAUUGUUGUUAAAAAAUGUAAAAUAAAAUAUAUAAAAUAAACAGACUGAAGUAGGUGGGACUGUAAAUUGUGACAGUUUUAUAUUCUAUGCAUUGAGACGUGGGCCAUUUAUGCUUUGGGAACAAUUUUAUUUUGUAUGGGAAGAAAGCCAGGUAUUUUUGUAAACGGAAAGUAACAUUCUUGAAAUAGAACAGUGUUAACCUUUUUACUUUUUCAGGAGAGAUAAAUUGGGGUCCUGCAUUCACACUGGAACUACACAAUGUACUGCUAGAUACUUGAACCACUGACUUGCCUUUUUCUCUAGGUAUCCUCCUCUUAAACCAACAGCCCUUGUAUGCUGUUACCCACCGCUCCAUGUGCUUUCGGGCAAUUAGGGAAUAUGGACUGUAUAGACUAUUUGCUCCGUCAAGUGAAGUUAUUACUGAACAGGACAAGUUCAGGGAACUUUGUGGACUGAAAAGAAGAAGAAAAAAAUUCAAGAUCCCAAAGGGGUAACAUGUCUAAUGUCCAUGUAACCGAAAUGAAAACCAUUGGGUGUUGUGCCUUUGUAUGAGUGUUGGAGUGGUGUUAGGUCUAAUCACCAUCCAGAAUGGGAGUAGUGUUGGUAAAGUGGGGGUAUAGCUUUAAAACACUGAAGUGCAUUAUGGGUAACGUAGUAAGUUAACUUUCGGUUUUGGAUUCAAUUGUGUGGAUGUAGCCCGAACUGUGAAUCACGCUGUUUUUGCUCCGUUAGCCCACUAUAUUAUUUUGUCAUACGGACAACCUCAAAUGAUGUAAAAGUUUUAAUAAAAGCUAACUACUUCAGUGGAAUUCCAGACUAACUCGUCAUUAGCAGCGGAUAAGAUCCCCAAAUGUGGGAAUUACCCCAGAACAUCUGUAAGUUGCUCUGGCCCUGGAGCUAGCAAGUGAAGGCUUCCCUGAGCCGUCCCGACUACGGUCUGGAGGCGAGGCAGGAAAGGUAACGCAGGUCUUCCUGUGAAGAGCCAGGUCAGUAUUGUGUAUUGCAGGCUGAGGAAGCUGAAGGCCCACGGCUUGGAGAGCGCUAGGGAAGGGGCUGUGUUUUGGCCUAACCACUGGAGAGUCAAGCUGUGCACCUGCGUCAGCUGCAAGGUGGACCAGUAAAGAUGCUUCUCUCUUGAGAUUGUGUGUUUUGCCAUGAUUUAUUCAAAGCACAGUGCAGCCACUGUUGUUUUUAGCUAUUUGAUGUGGAACAGAUUGCUGUAGCUAACCGUUUCAUUGGGUUGUAUGAGGUAGCAAUAGACUUUACGGGCUCUUCAGCACAUUGUAGUCUCAGCCCUUUGGAUUGGAUAAAGGUGGAGAGCUGUUUCCAUUGAAUAUGUGUUGGCAUUUCUGCUCAGAGGGCCUGCUGGAUGAGUCAGGCAUUGUCCUGGCCUGUGAGAACCGAGGCACUAUAGAGCAAGGAUCUGCUAGUCUCAACAGUCUGCUUAUGUCAGGCCAGAGUACUCUGGACAGCAUUCAACAACUGGAGAUUGUUUAACUUAAGGAUGGGGACCAUCUUUUUCAUUUAUUUGUUUGUCAGCUAUUAACUGUAGAUGUAACCUAACACAGGGUUUAUACCAUUUGAUGAACCUGAUUGAUGAAAGUAAAAUGUUGUUCCUUCUAUCUCUGAGUUUAUUGAGAUGGAGACUGAACUGAUGGCUUUCCUACAGCAGAUGCUGAUGAAGGUCAUCACAGCAGAAGCCAUCCACCAAUUCUUUGGGGAGCUGAUGAAGAAGAGGCGACAGAUGAACAGCUGAUGUCAUUCUGCCCCACGGUGUCCUGUUGUUAACUUGUGCAAUUUUGUAAUGUUACUUUGGGUUCAUAGCAACAAAGUUCUGUCCACCAAACACCUUCUGCUUGAAAUAACAGUGCUGCUAUAAAAUAUGCUGUUACUGAGGUUUAUGAAGUUGAAAGUUUUGCCCAAGAAGUUGUUCUCGAAUGGUACUCCAUGGAUUUCAAAUGGCAUUCCAUGUCUUAUGAGAAGCUGAAGGACCAUGCAAGUAGCAUGCUGUUAGCAGGCUUGGAGAGAUGCUGAUGGAAUCUAGUCAUUUUAGUCAUGGACUUACUGUUAUUUGGUCAAUUAUGUCUAAGUUGUCAUUAGAAUUUCAUAAUAAUGUGACACCUGAUGAGGAUGCACUGCCAUUCAUAUUGAAACAGAUCAGUAUGUGACCAUUUAAUGGUGUCACUGUCAUUCAUAUUGAAACAGAUCAGUAUGUGACCAUUUAAUGUUGUCACUAGCAUUCCUGUUAAUUAAACAUUUGAAUAGUUCAUCCAGCACACUCCAUGACAUGAUUGGGGCGGCAGGGUAGCCUAGUGGUUAGAGCGUUGGACUUUGCCGGAAGGUUGCAAGUUUGAAUCCCCGAGCUGACAAGGUACAAAUCUGUCCCUGAACAAGGCAGUUAACCCAUUGUUCCUAGGCUGUCAUUGAAAGUAAGAAUUUGUUCUUAACUGACUUACCUAGUUAAAUAAAAUUGGGUAAAAAAUUAUGUGGCUACUUGUCAUCCAAAUACCAGAAGGUACUUCUUAAAAUAAAUAAAAACUUGUUACCCCUU